rnacentral:rRNA from 1 species
UACGUAGGGUGCAAGCGUUAAUCGGAAUUACUGGGCGUAAAGCGUGCGCAGGCGGUUAUGCAAGACAGAUGUGAAAUCCCCAGGCUUAACCUGGGAACUGCAUUUGUGACUGCAUAGCUGGAGUACGGUAGAGGGGGAUGGAAUUCCGCGUGUAGCAGUGAAAUGCGUAGAUAUGCGGAGGAACACCGAUGGCGAAGGCAGUCCCCUGGACCUGUACUGACGCUCAUGCACGAAAGCGUGGGGAGCAAACAGG